AAAACUACAUCUCAGUUCGGAUUGCAGGCUGAAACUCGCCUGUAUGAAGAUGGAGUUGCUAGUAAUCGCGAAUCAGAAUGUCGCGGUGAAUACGUUCCCGGGUCUUGUACACACCGCCCGUCACACCAUGGAAGUCUGCAAUGCCCGAAGCCGGUGGCCUAACCACUUAUGUGGAAGGAGCCGUCUAAGGCAGGGCAGAUGACUGGGGUGAAGUCGUAACAAGGUAGC
rnacentral:rRNA from 1 species